rnacentral:rRNA from 1 species
CCCUAUGGGGUGCGUAGACCGCCGCCAUUCUACAGCUGAGAAUACGCCUGCCCUCUUUGCGUGACACCUGUAUGAGAGCGCCUCGUUUCCUGCAAAUAGCGUUGAUCUCCGUUAGCUUGUUGCUCGCAUGCAAAGCGAAAUCCCUCGCCCAGAUCAAUCUCAUUGACGUGGGUUACAUUAAUUAUGGCGGUGCCGCUGGGGUUGCCAUCGCAGGUCAAUAUGCCUUCGUGGCCAACUAUUCCGAUGGUCUGCGCGUCUGUGACAUCUCCGACUUGGCCCACCCGGUUGACGUAGGGCAUACGAAUGACGGCGGGUACGCCGAAGACGUAGUGGUCGCAGGUCACUACGCUUACCUGGCUAGUUUCGGCGGGGGGGC